ACCAAAACACAAAGGUGAAAAUAAAACACUAACAAUGCCUUUUACUAAAACAACCCAAAAGCAAUAAAACACAAUGCAAGCUUUCCAAGUUAUUGGGAACAUCACUAGGCAAAAAUGGUGAAUUAAAAAUAAUUGGAGAGGUAAGUGGUUGCUGUUAUAGCCUUGAAAUCCUUGGCUGCUUUACUGACAUCUCAUCCCCCUUCUCUUCUGCUCCCUUUCCUUUUACUUCAGCUGCCUGCCCUGAAGGACAAGACAGUUGUGUUUCAUCUGGAAGCAUCUUUCUGGCCUAUUAAGAUGCUGCUGCUACCACAGCGGCUGCUAUGUGUGUUUGCAUGCACACACACACACACACACACACGAAUGCGUGUAAAAACCUCCCUUCCUCCCUCCCUCCCGCCUUCCUUUCCUCCCUCUCUCAUUGCACCAUCUGUCGUUCUUGCUCUCUUCUCGCCUCUGCUUCCAGGCGCCAGUCUCCUGUCCCCAUUUCCCCUUCCUGCGCAUCAUCAUGCUGGACAUCUUCAUUCUCAUGUUUUUUGCCAUUAUAGGGCUGGUGGUCUUAUCCUACAUCAUCUACAUGUUGUAGCAUCUCCGCUUGCACCUGAUGGAAGACAGCUAAACAAGGAGGAAAGCGUUCCCUUCCCCAUUUAAGGCAGCAGGACUGAAGUCUGGGAUUUCCAAGUCUCCCUGGUUGACGGACUAACUGAUGGGAAACCCCACCCUGGUUUACAGUGAUGUUUACCUCUCAACAGCAUGGUGCCCCGACUGUUCUAGAGAAAGGUUAACCCUUUGCCAAGAGGAUCGGCAAAGAGGAGAGUGAUUCAGCAGAAUGCCUUGAAGAAGUCUUGUCAGCUUUCAAAAGACCUGAACUGGGAAUGCAUCAGAAAAACCAGUUAACAACCAGCAACGAGAUGGACACACGCUGAGAGAAUAGGACAGGAUGGUGGUGAGGGGAAGUCGUUGCCUCUGCUGUCCUCCAAUGAAAGCAAGAUUGAUUUUUCUGUAUGUCUUAGAUACACAAUCUUUACAUGGAGAAAAUAUUAUUUUCUGCUAUUUUAAAGUUUUAGAUUAUAGAACAUUGGCAAAGGCCCAGUGGAAGAGGGAAAGGAAACAGACUGAUCUCUAACUGACCUAAUGUUCACUACUCUGUGAAGUACCAGCACAGAUGAUAUAGUUAGAUUGGCUGUAGUAGAUUCAGGGAAAGCCUGCUUGGAGGGACAAGGGCUAUGUAUUCGAAACCCCACAUAUAUAUCCCACUGAAAAAUUAUGUACCAGACACUGUGCAUCUGAAGGUGCAGCUUUAUGCUGCUACUCCUAUCAAUCCAAAUGUUUAUUUAUGUUUUUUUAAAGAAAGGUUUUGAACAAAA